rnacentral:rRNA from 1 species
CCUACGGGAGGCAGCAGUGAGGAAUAUUGGUCAAUGGGCGUAAGCCUGAACCAGCCAAGUCGCGUGAGGGAUGACGGCUCUAUGGAUCGUAAACUUCUUUUUAAGGGAAUAAAGUGUGGGACGUUUCCUCUUUUGUAUUUACCUUAUGAAUAAGGAUCGGCUAACUCCGUACCAGCAGCCGCGGGAAUACGGGGGAUCCGAGCGUUAUCCGGAUUUAUUGGGUUUAAAGGGUGCGUAGGCGGGCUUUUAAGUCAGGUGUGAAAGUCUGUGGCUCAACCAUAGAAUUGCCGUUGAAACUGGGGGGCUUGAGUAGGUUUGAGGCAGGCGGAAUGCGUGGUGUAGCGGUGAAAUGCUUAGAUAUCACGCAGAACCCCGAUUGCGAAGGCAGCCUGCCAAGCCAUGACUGACGCUGAUGCACGAAAGCGUGGGGAUCAAACAGGAUUAGAUACCCCUGUAGUC